CUGUCAGUAUCGGUCUUUCAUACGAGUUGUGUUCAGCCUAAUUUUUUUCCUAAAAAAAGUUGGAUACCAACAGUUUAUUUGACACUGCAGCAUAAAUAUGUUGCUGGCAAAACAGCAGUCAAAGCAGGCAGUGACCUUGGCUACCACUAGCUAGCUAUCAGAGGGCUCCAAAAGAGAGGGUUGCGAAAAUGUUAACGACAUGGAAAUUGUGUGUGAUUGCCUAUAGCAGGAUGAAGAUCCUCCUUUGCCUGGGAAGAAACCAUUUCCUUUCACCAAGGUACCUUCUCUAAGGAUAUUCUCGGCUAUUAACCUUCAUGCAUGAAGCAGGAGCU
rnacentral:lncRNA from 1 species